UGGUGUGGCUACCUCCAGAGUCAGCAUGAAUCACCAUCCCCAUGGCCUCUGCUGCACUUACUCAGUUUGUCCAGGGGAGCCAAGGAGAAGCAAAUCUGCCUUCAGCUACUCGCUGUCCUAACUUAAGUCUGAGAGGUUUUCAGUCUUCCCCAUCCUAUUCUUCGUGCAUCUUCUGGUCCCCAACAUAAUAAAAAUAUAAGCAAACCACAAAUUUAAUGAGCUGUUUUUUCAUCCUUCCACUCCACUAGGGCCCCAGUGAUAUCUUCACUACUUGUGAGCAACACUGGGUCAAAAAAACACUGUUUGCCUGUAACUAAGCACUGCCUUCAACCUUUGGCAUCAGAUACGUCCUAAUUUCCUUCUCCAUCACGUGCUUUUUACUUUCCUUAAAAAAGAAAAGUAAAACUAUUGCUCAUUUGUUACUUUCAACCCAUAUUUCCUUCUACUCAAAACCACCCUGUGCCGCCCAAAACUAAAACCCUCUUGGGAUCACUGACCCGGGAAGGAGCUUGAGAUGGAAGCUCCUAUUAGUUUUUUUUUCCAGUGUAAUUGCCAUUUUCAUUUCCCAAAAGCCCUGGGUGCUUUGGGGAGGUGUGCGGGCAGGGGAGAAGGAGGGUUCCAUCAAUGCUGCCCUUCUGUGUCCGAGCCCUGGGAGCUGGGAAGGGCAUGAGGUCUGGGGGAGUUCGGGACUGAGGGAGCCCUGGGAGACUGGGGGAGCCUCGGAGUUUGAGGGAGCUGCAGAUCUGAUGGAACUUUGGGGGGGCCCAGGGAGCCUUGGGGUCUGAGGGAGCUGCACGCUCUGAGGGAACUUUGCGGGGCUGGGGAAGGUCUGGAGGGCUGGGGGGCCCCCGGGGAACUAGGGGAGCACCGAGAUCUGGGGGAUCUCUGGGGAAUCCUUGAGGAGGUUUUUUUUUUUUUUUUUCCUUCUCUGGCUGUAUGGUCCUUUGAAGGAAAAACCAGCCCCUUUCUGGAAAACUUGAGUCAGGGUGGAGGAGGCUGUGGCAGGGCCGGGAGCAGCUCAGGUGCUUUCACGGGGAGCUGGAGAGGGGACAGAGCAUCCCAUCAGCGCUGGGAAGAGCUGGUUCUUCUGGAGCUGUGGUGUGUGUGGCGCUUCCCGACCAGGUGCUGGGUGUGAGCAUCUUCUGUGGAGAAGCCCAACCUGUAGCAGGAAAUGUAACCAGCGUGUUUCUUGGCCGCACCAGCUGGGGGUCAGGGCAUUUCUUUUGAAAUGAAGCAGGGUGCUGCUGCUGUACCGGUGGUUUUAUAAAAGAAGAAUUCCCUGCCCCAGUAUUGCUCUGCAGAUGGAUGUCCAGGAUCCCCCCUGGCAGAGUUUAUUCGGGAUGGGCUGUUGUGCUGGGCCACUGGGCUCACGUUAAACUUUUUAAAAGUCUGCAGUGCUGAUUUAUGAACUGGCAGAUUGCAGCGUGGCUUAGGCUAAAAAUAGCCAGGAGGUAUUGGGGGAGGAUAUUAAUGCCAAGCGUGGCCUCACGCCAAUCCACUGUCUGUAUCUCUUGCUGCAAGGCAUGGCAGGGAGGGGUUCAGGCGGCGCUCAGGGAUGUGGUGGUGGGCAGGAAGUCGUUUUUGUAGGGUGAAAUCUAUCUCUGAGUGCUUCAUGUCAUAGAUACAUGUGGGAUGGGACCUGACACAAACAAAUGGAAAGCUAUGGCUGCCUGGAAGCUGCUUAGCUCUGGCUCACUGCCUGCUCCCAUUCCCUCCUGCUCUCCGGGGUCCCGAGACCAGCACCUGCUGGUGAGCAAAAGGAUCUGAGAACUUCCAGGCCUUUCUCCUCCUUUGUGGGUGUGUUAGAAAACGCUUGGAUUGUCUUUCCUCCGGGGCAGAUGAUGCUGAGUCUGCUUUGCUCAGAAGGUGUGAGGGAAACUCGGCAGGCUGGAUGAGGCUGCCAGGAUGGGCAGGGGUCAGUGACCACCGGUGACCCCAGUGACCAGCACCUUCCGCUCCGCGUGAGCGGCCGGGGCUGUGUGGCGGAGGUGCCUCGGGGCGAGCAGCUCCUUUUGCCCACCCCCGCUGGGGGUUUCUCUCAGGUGCGUGAGCCAGGUGAGUCCCAAGCAGCCUGCGGAGACACAGUCAAAGCGGGCGGCCGCUACCUGCUCACUGCUGGGAGCCCGCAGCCCUCGGCCGCAGGGGCCGGGCCCCCAGCGCCCCCACAGCCAGCACAUGGCGCCCGCCGCCAUGUCAGCGCCGCCCUCCCUCCAGCAGGGGGCGGUGCGGAGCGCGGGACGCCGCCCCGCGUGGCCGCCGCCUGCCCCUUUAA
ensembl:lncRNA